UAUGUGUUCAGCAGAAAUCUAUCGUUCUUCUGAAUUCUUUUAUCUUUUUUUUUUUUGGUAUAUAGCCUAAAAAGUGUUUUGAUUGUGACUUGUGUGGUUUUGUGGGUUUGAGUUUUCUUUUUUAUUUCUUUUCUAUCUGCAAACUUAAAGCUUUCUCUACCCUCAAAGUUAAAAGGAAACUAGAACAAUGAUUAAGAUAUGAGUGAGUAUCUUUUUUUGCAACGAGUUUGCCGCCAGAACACAGGUGUCGUGAAAACUACACCUAAAAGCCAAAAUGGGAAAGGAAAAGACUCAUAUCAACAUUGUCGUCAUUGAACACGUAGAUUCGGGCAAGUCCACCACUACUGGCCAUCUGAUUUACAAUCAGUGGUGGAAGAACGGUCUCAGAACUGUUUGUUUCAAUUGGCCAUUUAAUGGAAACAACUUGACCAAAAAUUUGUCACAGAAUUUUGAGCCCCAUUAAAAAAGUUUAAUGAGAAAAAAAAAAGAUAUGAGUGAGUAUAUUUCCAUACAUUUUUUGUAUAGUAAGAACUACUUUAAGUUUAAAAUUAUUAGCUCAAUAAUUUUUACUUUUUGCUAGCAUUUUGUCUAUCAUUUCUCUACUUUGAUCUGCCAUUCUAUGUUCCUAGAAAUUUAUCUAUUUUUAUUUCCGGAAUUUUUAAUUUAUUCUAUAAUUUUUAUCAUUUCAUAGUAUUUCUCAAUUUCUCAAACAUUCUCUUAAUUCAGUUUCCUUCAGUAUCCAAGACUGGUUUUCACAGUCUUUUAAUUUCCUUAUGACAUUUUUUUAUUUCCAGGUGUAUUUUUCUUACAGCGUAUUGAACAGGUUUAUGACUACCUAUUCAAUAGUAUUUUGUUUUAUGUUGUUGGUAGUACAGUUUACAGAUGUUUACGUUUCUCCUAUUACUUACUUUUUUUUUUUUUUUCCGGAAGAGGGCCAUCUCCUUUGAUAGCUUAGAUAUGUCCCAUUAGUUUAAAUUGUUAUGUUCCUAUCUCCCAUGACUUCACUCUAUUUAUUCUGAAGUACAAAAGUCUAGAAUGUCUUAUAAUAAAACAGUAGUUUCUAAUUGAUAUGCUGUGUUUACCAAUAUCACUGAUCCUUUCGUUUUAUUCAAAAUUGUAUAGGUUUGUGUGUGUGUGUGUUUAUGUGAAUGUGUGUGUGACAGAGAGAGAGGGAGAAAAAGAGAGCUUGAGCAAUUACAGUUGCUAAAAUCUCCAAUAUUUUCCUCACAAUUAUAAAUUUUUUUUCUUUUUUCACUUGUUAGUGCCACAGAGCAGUCCAAUUUCAGUGUGAUAAGUAUUAUUUUAAGAAAUAAUUUUUUUCUGCAUAGAUUCUGCAAUGUUUUUAAUAUAUUCUUGAAAACCAUAUUGUUCACGGGGGCACACUGGUUGUUAGUCAUUCUUUGAUUUUGCCUGUUGCUUCAUGAGUUCUUGCUAUUAUCUAAUUGAUUUGUUUGCUUAAUAACAUCUUCAUUAUCUUUCUUACUAUUUAUUAUUCCAGCUCCAUUUGUUUGGCUCAGUUUUUCAGGGACAUUAAUUAUUUGUUACAUUGUUUUCUGCUUUUUUAAGUUUUAUCUCAUUUUCAUCUAUUUCUCCAUUUUCUACAUCUUAUGGGAGAGCACUUCAAGCCUUUCCACGUAAAUUUUCUAUUUUAGGCAGAGUCAGAGUCAAAUCCAAGCUUUAUUGUUCUCAGUAAAAAUUUUGUUUUUGCUAUUGCAGUUCACUUUCAUUACAAUAUUUUCCUAAUUACACAUAGCACCCUGUUUGUGCCUACAUUUUUUUAAGGACUGCCCAAAAUCUAAUUUUAUUUUUGCAUUCUUUAUAAAUAAAAAGCAACCAAUAACCAUUUUCCUCUUAGAUCCAACUUCAAUGACCAUAUUUUCAGGAACUACUGAAAGAUUUCAAGUAUGUUG
ensembl:lncRNA